rnacentral:rRNA from 1 species
UGGGGAAUAUUGCACAAUGGGGGAAACCCUGAUGCAGCGACGCCGCGUGAACGAAGAAGGUAUUCGUAUCGUAAAGUUCUGUCCUAUGGGAAGAUAAUGACAGUACCAUAGAAGAAAGCUCCGGCUAAAUACGUGCCAGCAGCCGUGGUAAUACGUAUGGAGCGAGCGUUGUCCGGAAUUAUUGGGCGUAAAGGGUACGCAGGCGGUUUAAUAAGUCGAAUGUUAAAGAUCGGGGCUCAACCCCGUAAAGCAUUGGAAACUGAUAAACUUGAGUAGUGGAGAGGAAAGUGGAAUUCCUAGUGUAGUGGUGAAAUACGUAGAUAUUAGGAGGAAUACCAGUAGCGAAGGCGACUUUCUGGACACAAACUGACGCUGAGGUACGAAAGCGUGGGGAGCAAACAGG